GCAGUCUCUCAGAGGUGCUGCAGAAUACCUUCAUAACAAGCUCAGGGCCAAGCACUAUUCCAAGGCAAAAGCUCCUCUCUCAACCUAUUCAAGCAUGAACUUGGAAGAAAGUCAGCUCUCUUCAUAGUAAAUCAACAACUCACUGACCAAAAAAAGGUGAAGGACCACGCUCUUAGGUUGAAUCAAGUCCAUCUGUGUCACGCUGGAAGUGCCUAACGGACCUAUGGGGGUCAAACUUAUAAUCGAUACACUGCUGAUGGCAAUGAGGAAAGUGUGGCAGGACGAGUGGCCUGGUGAGAAGACUUCCCCAUAUGUCCCCCUGUCGGACCCAGCAGCAGAAAGAAUGCAAACCCGUUUGUAUAUAUGCAAAUUUUUGCAGCAGAUUUAAGAGCUUCGGGUGCUCUGGGGAAGAAAUCUCUGCUUAAGGAGCACG
rnacentral:lncRNA from 1 species